rnacentral:rRNA from 1 species
CAGUCGCCGCGGGAAUACGAAGGGUGCAAGCGUUAAUCGGAAUUACUGGGCGUAAAGCGUGCGUAGGUGGUGGUUUAAGUCCGUUGUGAAAGCCCUGGGCUCAACCUGGGAAUUGCAGUGGAUACUGGGUCACUAGAGUGUGGUAGAGGAUAGUGGAAUUUCCGGUGUAGCAGUGAAAUGCGUAGAGAUCGGAAGGAACAUCUGUGGCGAAGGCGACUAUCUGGGCCAACACUGACACUGAGGCACGAAAGCGUGGGGAGCAAACAGGAUUAGAUACCCGCGUAGUCCCUGUCUCUUAUAC